rnacentral:siRNA from 1 species
CCAUUCCGCCUAGGGUUAUGCCGC